UACGAGGGGGGCAAGCGUUGUUCGGAAUUAUUGGGCGUAAAGGGCGCGUAGGCGGUGCGGUAAGUCUGAUGUGAAAUCUCCGGGCUCAACUCGGAGUCUGCAUCAGAAACUGCCGUGCUCGAGUGUGGGAGAGGUGAGUGGAAUUCCCGGUGUAGCGGUGAAAUGCGCAGAUAUCGGGAGGAACACCGGUGGCGAAGGCGGUUCUCUGGGCCUUACCUGACGCAGAGGAGCGAAAGCGUGGGGAGCGAACAGG
rnacentral:rRNA from 1 species